rnacentral:lncRNA from 1 species
CCCACAGCAUGCAGAAUUUCCCAGGCCAGAGAUUCAACCCAAAUCACAGCAGUGACAAUGCCAAAUCCUUACCUGCUAGACCACCAGGAAACUCCUAAAAGCAUUCUUUACCACACAGGCUUAGUAUGCACUGUGUAUGUUUAUCAAAGUAUUUUGACAGCAGAUGUCCCAAACUCAAAAAGGCACAAAAAACACAAAGUAUAAAAUUUCUCUCAAAGUUCACAGUUAUAAAGGAUGAAGUUUGUGAUAACUUUAACAAAGAAAACCUGGUGAGUUGGCCUCCCUGAUGCACAGCCAGCUUCUACUCUGACCAACUUGAUGCACUGGCCAAAGAUACAGAUGUAGCUACAUACAAAGAGGAAUUAUUAGGUUCAGAAGAGAGGAUUAGAUAUGAGGAUAGCUUGAUAUUAGGAACCAAAGGAAAUGAAAAUUGUAUACAUCCUGCUGAUGGAUUAGCUGGAGCUGUAAAGGGUGUUAACAGGAACCAGAUUCAUUAUCAAAUACGUUUUCAGACAUGCCCCCAGACUGGUCAGUACUAUAACUACAUGGUAAAAAGUACUUCUUCAAAUAAAUGUAAAAAAAAUGCUGUACAGCAGAAAAAAUAUACAUAAAUAAAUGAUAAAAAUAAACAAAUAAAUAUAAAUAAAAAUGAUUUUCCCUAGUCAAGUUUACUACUGCUACCAUGUCCUGUCCUCUGGGUAUUUUUUGCUUCACAAAGUUAAAAGACUUCAUAGAACAUCAAUAAAAGAUGUAUUUCAAGAAUUACCAAAUAUUCAAGAUAAAAAAUAUUUUAAAAAGUCCUUUGGCACAAUCUACUGGUUUUGUUUUUUGUUUGUUUUUCUCUUUCUUUUCUCUUCUUUUUUGGCCACCUGAGGCACAUGGAGUUCCUGGGCCAGGGACCAGAUCCGAGCCACAGUUGCAAACCUAUACCACGGCUGUGGCAAUGUUAGAUCCUUAACCUACUGUGCUGGGCUGGGGAUCGAACCUGCAUUCCAGCACUCCAGAGAUACUGCUGAUGCCAUUGCACCGCAGUGAGAACUCCUGUUGGUUUUUUAAGAUGAGUAAAUGAGUCUCCAGAUUCAUGAAUUGUUUGGAUUUUCAGUGACGGAGUUAGGAGUAAAUCUAGUCCUCUGACCCUGCUAGCCCACAGUCCCAUUUGUUAUCAAAUGUAAUUCACCUCCACACAAAUGCCCAUAUAGGCUUCACUCUGGAAAGCUAAAGGGAAGUGGCAGAGUUCACAGAAUCUCUAUCCAUCACAUGCCAAUGACUCUACGGCCACUGAAGUUCCUUUUACAAAGCUGUCUUCCCUUGCAAGCUUUACCUCACAGGUGCUUUCCCUCUAAUGGCCUUUAGAGAGGAGAAAACUUCUCAUGCUUCUCCAUUUUCAAUCAGCUCAACAUUAAACCAGAAACUUCAGGAGUCAGAAAGAAAGGUUACGUAUUCACGGUACAAAGACUUCAGCAGUCACUGCCUUGAUACUCCCUCCCAUGAAGGUUAGAAGCUUUGCCCUGGCAAUAAAACAUAAGGCUAAUGUUUUGGUAACCUUAGAAAAGAGAUAGAGUUUACUGAACUCCCAAGGACUAAUGUAAAACAAUCUCAGAUGUAAGCAAAGGUAGAGUGUCAUGACCUUGAAAAACAUGUGCUCCUCCACAAUGAUUUUUAUAACCACACACUCCAAAGACUUAGCUACUCGUGCUAAACAUGAGUUUAGGAUACACCUGCAGUCGACAGAUAUAAAUUGAGCACAUGUUGUGUUGCCAGAAACUGUGCUAGGGGAGAAAGUCUUCAGACUCAAGGUGUCAUAUGCAGUUAGGUAGGAGCGGUAAAAGCAAUCUCAUAUGACAAGUUAUCAUGUAGAUCUUCACAGAGCUCUGUGGGAAUUCACAAGAGGGAGCCACUAACUUCCACCUCCACCCUCCAGGCCAGGCAGAGAACGCAGGAGAGAAUCACGAAAAGGCAGAGUGACAUAAUACAUGUUUUUACUCUUCCUUAAACAAACAAACAAAAGCUAUUACACUAUAGGGCAGCCCAGGGCAUUUAGCAAGCAGAAAGCAUCAUCUUUAUAGGAUAAAAGCACCAGGGCCAUUUUUGGAGCGGCCGAUCAUGUGCAUGCAAGCUGUAAAUGACUGGCUAAUGGAGAAAAGCAGCAGUGCUUACUGAUUGGGCUGACACCAUCCCUAAGAGCAGGGAGGAUGGGAAACCCCUUGUCGAAGAGGUCACCAGCACCCAGGCCUGUUUUCCCCAGGCACGCUCCUCCCUGGGCCCAGAGUGUCCCUCCCUCCUCUCCUUGCAGGAAUGAGUCUUCAUCAUUCUUCAGCAUCCCACCCUCAUCUGCCGCUGCAGCAGCACUGUCUGUCUAGAUAUCUAUUAAUUUCCUUCAUAGCACUUUACUAUAUGACUACGGUGUAUUAUAUGACUCUCUCUCUCUUACUACAACUUAUAAUUAUAAAUUAUCAACAUUAAUAUGAUCUGCUGGAUGAUGUUGCUUUUCAAAAUUAAUUAUCACUGACGGCACGAAGUAGGCUCUGAUUACUCUACCACAGGGAACCUGUGAUGUCUCAACGGGCCCACCACUUAUCUCUGUCCUAUGAAACCUCUGUUCAGGCAGUACUGUGUGGUAACAUCAUUUGGCCUUCACUUUAAGGGAAUACAGCAUUUUCUGUAUGAAAUAUACCUGUAUUCAUUUAUUGGGUCAAAGGUACCUGAGGCCAGUGUGAUUAUAAACAAACCACCAUCACUGAAAACAUGAGGCAGUCCUUAAUUAUAUGAUAAUUACACAGAUUUUAAAAAUGAGUGUGAAUACUUUAAAAAUUCUGAUAGAGAAUUCAUCAGUCUCCCAUUUUGGGUUUUUUUGUUGGUUGGUUUGUUUGGUCUUUUUAGGGCCACACCCGAGGCAUGUGGAGGUUCCCAGGCUAGAGGGCGUGGCCCUAAAAAGCAAAAAACAAAAAAAGAAGAAGAAGAAUUAGGCACAUUCUGGAUUAUGACCUAUUUUCUGGCUUCACUGCUUACAAACGAAGCCAUUGAGAAGAUGACAGGGAAAAUAAAGCAAGACAGAGAGAUGCAGAGACACAAAAAGAAACUUAGAAACUCAGAGAGAUUCGGGGUGUCUGACAUUUUCUUCUACAGAAGGGUCGGGAUCAAGUCUUGCAUAUGUUGGGAAGAACAAACUGGUAGAUGUAAAGGACAAAGACACGAUCAGCUCUUUUCCACUGGGGACGUGAGUCCCCGGGGAGGGGGACAGGGGGGCGAGGGGGUUAAAUGUCUGCACAUGCUCCAGACAGGCCUUUUUAACCCAUUACUGAGAACCACUACUUGCACAAUGGCCAGUAAAACCGCCCUCAACCCCUUUCCUUGAGGAGGAAGCAAGGAGAACAAAGGGAAAGUGAACCUCUCUCAUCUAUUCAGUUCUACAGAACUAUAAAAAUUAAUUUUUUCCUUGACAGAAAUGCCCAAAUCGAUUCUCCACCAUCAUCCUCUUGGCAGGUGUUCAAGUUCCAUGGCCUUGUGUCUUCCAAAGUCAUCACCCCGACACAUGGUUUCAACGAACAAUUGUGGCUGCUCUUACGUUCCCUUGUAGGACUUCAGCAGCCAGAAAUACGCUCCAGAUUUGUUUCCCAGGGAUCCUCAGAAGCGAGGGGCAGGGGUGGCUUUGACAGGCUAGAGCAUGUCCUCCCCAGUUUCCUGUCCCAUGUUCAUGAUCAGUCCUGGGUAGGUUUCCUGAAUUAGCCCUUUCCAUUUUACAGGCAGCAAUUUAGUGGCCAGCUAUCCGUCUUCGCUAUGUACCACUUCUGCCUUGUGUCAGACACAGAAUGCAUCACAUGCGCCUUUGUCUACGAAUCCUCUUCAUUCGAUGAGUUGGUAAAGACAGCCAGAUAUAAAACUCAGGCUUAUAUGAGGUGAUGUUAACGGAGCCGAGCGGUAUAAUAGGAAACAACUGGACCAGCUGCAAAUGCCUACGGAGCUAAGAGAGAUUCAUUUCACGAAUGACAGCAAAAACUAUAAUGGAUAUAGGCAGGUGGGUCUUAGCAGGCUCUGGAUUCCAACUGGGAUACCUACUCUGCUCUUACCUCCUAAACUGCCAAGCAUCAUCUAGGCUGACAUUCCCUAGCCUAGGGCUUCUCCGCAAAAAUGAUGAAUUAUUAACAUAAUUCCUAGAGCUCCCGGAUGCCUCUAAACUGUCAUAAGUAUUUUAAAUUGGGUUCUUCAUCAGGGUUCUACGCAAGCUAUACUUUUCUUUAUCCGUGUCUUUUUCUCUCUCUUAUUUGACAAAUAAAUCUACUCGAAAGCCCCUCAACUCUAGAUCCCGCUUAUUUCCUUGGGAUAUUUAUUUUCCUUCCUGGUUUUCUUCUUAUAUUGUUUAUUUUACUGUUUUGCCUGGUUUUUCCAUUUGUUAUAUUUGGAACAUAGAUGAUUUUAACCCUUAAGAAGCUCAGUCUCCCCGUAGAUAAACAAUAAAUUCCACCUACAGUGUUGCUGAGAGAAUUAAUGUGAUAAUAAUAUAAAUCGAGUCAUGAGCACAGAACACGACACAUAACAGUUCACAAUAAAUGUUUGCUCUGAUCCUGCCAUCUCCCUGGAAUGUAGAGUGAGUUUACCUAUUAACAUGUAUCUU